GUUUAGUUAUUGCACUCACAGCUUUGCAAGUAUUGCUGCUCAGUGAAAAUGUAAGUGCCAUACAUGUGUACCAUCACACACACACACACACACACACACACACACACACACACACCCUUCUAGACCCAGAUUCUCCACUCAGGGAAAUAGCAUGAAAGAAAACCUGAUGCCCCAGUGAAUAGCCAUUUUACUCACCACCUUUAGAAUGACAUAGCCCAGCUGCUUCUGGGCUAGAACCUCAUCCUCCUUGUGACUCGAUGCUUCUGCUGCCAAAUGAGGUGGAGAACUGUCACAGUGCGUCCUUGGAUGACGGACCGCAGAUGGAACACCCAGCAGGAAGUAACUCCUCCACCGAGGAUGGCAUUCAUCUCUCUACCACCUGCAUGGUUUUUGCUAUAACUAUGGAGUCUCAUUCUGUUGCCCAGGCUGGAGUGCAAUGGCGCGAUCUCAGCUCACCGCAAUCUCUGCCUCCUGAGUUUAAGCAAUUCUCCUGCCUCAGCCUCCUGAAUAGCUGGGAUUACAGGCUUGCACCACCAUGCCCGGCUUGUAUCUGGUGAUGAAUAUUUACCUUAUUUGAAGUCGCUGUUGUCAAAAGUUUUCUGGAACAGGUAAUGUGAGGCCUUCAGAGAUCUCUCUUUGAAAAUGAAAAUAGAAACGACACACACUGGGGCCUAUAGGAGGGAGGAGGGUGGGAGGAGGGAGAAGAUCAGGAAAAAUAACUAAUGGGUACUGGCCUUAAUACCUGGGUGACAAAAUCAUCUGCACAAUGAACCCCCAUGAUACAAAUUUAUUACCUAUGUAACAAACCUGCACAUGAACCCCUGAACUUAAAAUAAAAGUUAGAAAAAUGA